rnacentral:rRNA from 1 species
AUACGUAGGUGACAAGCGUUAUCCGGAUUUACUGGGCGUAAAGGGCGUGUAGGCGGUCUUGCAAGUCAGAAGUGAAAUUCCUGAGCUCAACUCGGGCGCUGCUUCUGAAACUGCAGGACUUGAGUGCUGGAGGGGAUAGCGGAAUUCCUAGUGGAGCGGUAAAAUGCGCAGAUAUUAGGAAGAACACCGGUGGCGAAGGCGGCUAUCUGGACAGUAACUGACGCUGAGGCGCGAAAGCGUGGGGAGCAAACAGGAUAGAUCCCCUGGUAGUCCACGCCGUAAACGAUGAAUACUAGGUGUAGGGGGUAUCGACUCCCUCUGUGCCGCAGUUAACACAAUAAGUAUUCCGCCUGGGGAGUACGGCCGCAAGGUUGAAACUCAAAUGAAUUGACGGGG